GCAUGUAUUGUAGUGGUUUGAGAGUUGGACUAUGACUCUGGAGACCAGGGUUCAAUUCCCAGCUUGGCCA